CAAGUCGAGCGAAGUCUUCGGACUUAGCGGCGGACGGGUGAGUAACGCGUGGGAACAUACCCUUUGGUACGGAAUAGCCUCGGGAAACUGGGAGUAAUACCGCAUACGCCCUACGGGGGAAAGCAGGGGAUCUUCGGACCGGUCACUAUUGGAGGAGCCUGCGUAGGAUUAGCUAGUUGGUGAGGUAAAGGCUCACCAAGGCGACGAUCCUUAGCUGGUCUGAGAGGACGAUCAGCCACACUGGAACUGAGACACGGUCCAGACUCC
rnacentral:rRNA from 1 species